rnacentral:rRNA from 1 species
CCUACGGGAGGCAGCAGUGGGGAAUAUUGCACAAUGGGGGAAACCCUGAUGCAGCGACGCCGCGUGAGUGAAGAAGUAUUUCGGUACGUAAAGCUCUAGCAGCAGGGAAGAAAAUGACGGUACCUGACUAAGAAGCCCCGGCUAACUACGUGCCAGCAGCCGCGGUAAUACGUAGGGGGCAAGCGUUAUCCGGAUUUACGGGGUGUAAAGGGAGCGUAGACGGCAGCGCAAGUCUGGAGUGAAAUCCCAUGGCUUAACCAUGGAACUGCUUUGGAAACUGUGCAGCUAGAGUGCAGGAGAGGUAAGCGGAAUUCCUAGUGUAGCGGUGAAAUGCGUAGAUAUUAGGAGGAACACCAGUGGCGAAGGCGGCUUACUGGACUGUAACUGACGUUGAGGCUCGAAAGCGUGGGGAGCAAACAGGAUUAGAUACCCCAGUAGUC